rnacentral:rRNA from 1 species
AGAGUUUGAUCAUGGCUCAGAUUGAACGCUGGCGGCAGGCCUAACACAUGCAAGUCGAACGGUAACAGAAAGCAGCUUGCUGCUUUGCUGACGAGUGGCGGACGGGUGAGUAAUGUCUGGGAAACUGCCUGAUGGAGGGGGAUAACUACUGGAAACGGUAGCUAAUACCGCAUAACGUCGCAAGACCAAAGAGGGGGACCUUCGGGCCUCUUGCCAUCGGAUGUGCCCAGAUGGGAUUAGCUUGUUGGUGGGGUAACGGCUCACCAAGGCGACGAUCCCUAGCUGGUCUGAGAGGAUGACCAGCCACACUGGAACUGAGACACGGUCCAGACUCCUACGGGAGGCAGCAGUGGGGAAUAUUGCACAAUGGGCGCAAGCCUGAUGCAGCCAUGCCGCGUGUAUGAAGAAGGCCUUCGGGUUGUAAAGUACUUUCAGCGGGGAGGAAGGGAGUAAAGUUAAUACCUUUGCUCAUUGACGUUACCCGCAGAAGAAGCACCGGCUAACUCCGUGCCAGCAGCCGCGGUAAUACGGAGGGUGCAAGCGUUAAUCGGAAUUACUGGGCGUAAAGCGCACGCAGGCGGUUUGUUAAGUCAGAUGUGAAAUCCCCGGGCUCAACCUGGGAACUGCAUCUGAUACUGGCAAGCUUGAGUCUCGUAGAGGGGGGUAGAAUUCCAGGUGUAGCGGUGAAAUGCGUAGAGAUCUGGAGGAAUACCGGUGGCGAAGGCGGCCCCCUGGACGAAGACUGACGCUCAGGUGCGAAAGCGUGGGGAGCAAACAGGAUUAGAUACCCUGGUAGUCCACGCCGUAAACGAUGUCGACUUGGAGGUUGUGCCCUUGAGGCGUGGCUUCCGGAGCUAACGCGUUAAGUCGACCGCCUGGGGAGUACGGCCGCAAGGUUAAAACUCAAAUGAAUUGACGGGGGCCCGCACAAGCGGUGGAGCAUGUGGUUUAAUUCGAUGCAACGCGAAGAACCUUACCUGGUCUUGACAUCCACGGAAGUUUCCAGAGAUGAGAAUGUGCCUUCGGGAACCGUGAGACAGGUGCUGCAUGGCUGUCGUCAGCUCGUGUUGUGAAAUGUUGGGUUAAGUCCCGCAACGAGCGCAACCCUUAUCCUUUGUUGCCAGCGGUCCGGCCGGGAACUCAAAGGAGACUGCCAGUGAUAAACUGGAGGAAGGUGGGGAUGACGUCAAGUCAUCAUGGCCCUUACGACCAGGGCUACACACGUGCUACAAUGGCGCAUACAAAGAGAAGCGACCUCGCGAGAGCAAGCGGACCUCAUAAAGUGCGUCGUAGUCCGGAUUGGAGUCUGCAACUCGACUCCAUGAAGUCGGAAUCGCUAGUAAUCGUGGAUCAGAAUGCCACGGUGAAUACGUUCCCGGGCCUUGUACACACCGCCCGUCACACCAUGGGAGUGGGUUGCAAAAGAAGUAGGUAGCUUAACCUUCGGGAGGGCGCUUACCACUUUGUGAUUCAUGACUGGGGUGAAGUCGUAACAAGGUAACCGUAGGGGAACCUGCGGUUGGAUCACAU